UACGAAGGGGGCUAGCGUUGCUCGGAAUCACUGGGCGUAAAGCGCACGUAGGCGGCUUUCUAAGUCAGGGGUGAAAUCCUGGAGCUCAACUCCAGAACUGCCUUUGAUACUGGAGAGCUCGAGUCCGGAAGAGGUGAGUGGAACUCCGAGUGUAGAGGUGAAAUUCGUAGAUAUUCGGAAGAACACCAGUGGCGAAGGCGGCUCACUGGUCCGGUACUGGACGCUGAUGUGCGAAAGCGUGGGGAGCAAACAGGG
rnacentral:rRNA from 1 species